CUUGUUGAAUAGGGCUUUUCCACUUCAAUAUUGAUCCACUUUUUGGUGACAUUCAUAUAUAGUGUUGCUUUCAAUAUAUUUGGGGAACACUUUAGUUCAUGACUUGAUGAACAGUAAUAAUGUAUAUGUAGCCUUUGUAAGGGUUAUUAUACUUUAAAGUUAAUUUUGGUUAAAUAGAAUAACAUUUGAUGGUUGCCUUUGGGUAGGUCUGAUGGCAAAGAAGUGAUGGUUGAUAAUAAAUUUCUCAAGGCUCACAAUCCCCUUCUGUUGAUCAACUUCUAUGAGCAACAUCUGCGCUACAGUGCUACGCCAUGAGUAGACAGUUAUGGACGAGAAUGUGGAUGCUGGACCAUGUCAUCUUUGCUUUUGUGAUAUACAGUUGUAAUUUGUACCUGGAUGCUAUAGUACAGGUUAAGCCAAUGCAGUCGUAGGUUAGGCAAUGCAGUAGUGAACUGUGUUAGAUAGCAUGAUGCUGACUUGUAUAGCAGCAAUUACCUUGUUUUAUGUCUUUUCCUUCCUCUUUUGAAUGGGUAUGAACAUCUUGUUUAUCCACCUACCUUUUUAUAUGGUUUUGUACAUGGAGAUCAUGACUGUAACAUGUAGAUGAUGAUAAAACAUUUGUUUCACGCCCUUAAUAUUCAUAUUUAACUUUUUUUUCUUC